AACAGUCUAACCUGCCCGCUGACAUAUAGUUGAAGGGCCGCGGUAUUCUGACCGUGCAAAGGUAGCAUAAUCGUUAGUUCCUUAAUUGGGAUCUCGUAUGAAUGGUUGGACAAAGCAAAAGCUGUCUCUGUAGUUAAUAUUGAAUUUAACUUUUAAGUGAAAAGGCUUAAAUACGUUAGGGGGACGAUAAGACCCUAUAAAGCUUUAUAUGUAUUAGCAAGAAAGCUUAAUUUUGAAGUCUAUAAAAGCUUUUUAGCUAACCCGUAUUUUAUUGGGGCGAUAAAAGUAAAAUUAAUAAUAACUGCUUUAACAGUAAACACAAGUAGGUGAAUGGAAAAUUAUAAAUGAUCCUGAAUAAAGAUUAUGAGAUUAAGUUACUUUAGGGAUAACAGCGUUAUUUUUCUUGAGAGUUCUUAUCGAAAGAAAAGCUUGCGACCUCGAUGUUGAAUUAAAAUUUCUCUUCAAUUGUAGCAGUUGAGGAAGAAGGUCUGUUCGACCUUUAAAAUUUU
rnacentral:rRNA from 1 species